AUUGGAUUGAGAACAAUGUACAACUCUUAUCGAUAAGCCAUUGGAGGGCAAGUCUGGUGCCAGCAGCCGCGGUAAUUCCAGCUCCAAUAGCGUAUAUUAACGUUGUUGCAGUUAAAAAGCUCGUAGUUGAAGUGUGGGUGGUGCUGUCUGAAUGACUUCGGUUAGUCAGAUGAUCACUACCCCCUUCCAGUAUCCAAUAGUGGGUAUUCAGUUACUUACUAUUGUGUGUUGGUCCUUUACUGUGAGAAAAUUAGAGUGUUCAAAGCAGGCGUUUGCUUGAAUAGAUUAGCAUGGAAUAAUAAUUGAAGGCUUUCGUGUUCGAUUUGAUUGGUUUGUUCAUGGAAGCAAGGUUAAAAGGAACAGUUGGGGGUAUUCAUAUUCACUAGUUAGAGGUGAAAUUCUCGGAUUUAUGGAAGAUGAACAAGUGCGAAAGCA
rnacentral:rRNA from 1 species